rnacentral:rRNA from 1 species
UACGUAGGGGGCAAGCGUUGUCCGGAUUUAUUGGGGGUAAAGCGCGCGUAGGCGGACCUGCAAGUCGGGGGUGAAAGCCCGAGGCUCAACCUCGGAACUGCCUUCGAUACUGCGGGUCUCGAGUCCGGGAGAGGUGAGUGGAAUUCCUAGUGUAGAGGUGAAAUUCGUAGAUAUUAGGAAGAACACCAGUGGCGAAGGCGGCUCACUGGCCCGGUACUGACGCUGAGGCGCGAAAGCGUGGGGAGCAAACAGG